AGGGAUUUAGCUCAGUGGCAUAAGCACCUGCCUUGUAAGCAGGUGGUUGUGCGUUCGAUUCCCAGUACCAA
rnacentral:tRNA from 1 species